UGUUACAAUGGCAGGUACAGAGGGAGUGCUACCGGGCGACCGGAUGCGGAUCUCGAAAGCCUGUCCCAGUUCGGACUGGAGUCUGCAACCCGACUCCACGAAGUUGGAUUCGCUAGUAAUCGCGCAUCAGCCAUGGCGCGGUGAAUACGUUCCCGGGCCUUGUACACACCGCCCGUCAAGCCAUGGGAGCCGGGGGCGCCUGAAGUCCGGGACCGCGAGGACCGGCCUAGGGCGAAACUGGUAACUGGGGCUAAGUCGUAACAAGGUAGC
rnacentral:rRNA from 1 species